rnacentral:misc_RNA from 1 species
GAUGAAGAACGUAGUGAAAUGCGAUAAGUAAUGUGAAUUGCAGAAUUCAGUGAAUCAUCGAAUCUUUGAACGCACAUUGCGCCCGCUAGUAUUCUGGCGGGCAUGCCUGUUCGAGCGUCAUUUCAACCAUCAAGCCCUGUUUAGGCUUGUGUUGGGGCCCUGCGGCUGCCGCAGCCCCCUAAAUGCAGUGGCGGGCUCGUUGUCACUCCGAGCGCAGUAGCGUAUCUCGCUCUGGGCGUGGCGGCGGGUGCUAGCCGUGAAACACCCACUAAGGUUGACCUCGGAUCAGGUAGGAAUACCCGCUGAACUUAAGCAUAUCAAUAAGCGGAGGA